CGUGAUCAUUGCUCUGCUCGGACGUUUACUUAAACUACAAAAAGGGGCUUCAAACGACCAAACAACUAACAUAAAUCAGGUCGCUGCUGAAGAGGUCUUGAACUAUGCAGCUGUGGGUUUUGAUAAGAAACCUUCAUCCUCUAGAACAUCCAGAGCCAAGAGCCAUGAAGAUGUUUAUGCUCAAGUUAAAGUAAAAUAGAGAAAGAGAAAUUAAUUCAGAAUUAAAACACAACCAAAAUUUAAUUCUUCCCUAAUUUUUAAUUCUUAACUAAAACUAGACAGAUUUUUGAAUCAUGAAUGUACUAGUUUGCUUUAAUUGUUUAUGACUAAAGCUUCUUAUUUGUGGUCUAAAGUUCUGUUCUUUCACCAUUACAGACUGUGUAACCUUCUCAUUUGUAUUUAUUAGGAUUUGAUCAGUUGGUCUUUAAAUUAUAUCCUGCAUUUUUUCCCUAAAUUUAUAAAAGCUUUACAUUUGGGAUCUUUACUUAACAUUUUCUCUUAAAAUAAUGAACCUGAUUUCUAGAAUUGCAAGAAAACCCAUAUUUUGGUUUUAAAAGCUACCUUCAUGACCGUUCAGGUCUCACAUCAGGCCUUUAUUCUUCUUUAAAACAUGUCAGAUGUGAGAGGAUAAAUAAAUCUGUGGAUAAUGUAAUUACUGUAAAUGAGCUAAAUCACAUUCCCCAGCUGUAGGCAGUUUAUAAGUAAAUAUAAUGCACAUUAUGAUGUUUAACCCACACAGAUUUCCAUAAAUAUUAAUGACUUUAAAGUGAAAUAAAUCUGAAUAUUAAUGUUAGUGAUAUUAGUGUUUCCUGUGUUACUUAUUACUGCUGAACCUGAAAUUCAAUUCCAAUUACAUUUUAAUACAGAUUUUACUUUCAUGACAUUUCUAUUAAAUCUAUUAAAUAUUGCACGGUGUGAUGAGUUACAGCUCAGAUUUAAAUAGUAAAUAAAUCAUUAGGAACAUAACAAUUAUCACUGUAUCUAAAACGCUUCCCUGAAAUCUCACUGAAGAAUUAAGUGUGAAUGUGUUAAACAUGUGAUGAUGUAAUGUGGGGAAAUAUGUGGGGAGUCAUUUAAAUUAUCGUUCAGUAAUUUUACUCAAACCAAGAAAUAUUAGAAUUGUUCCAUUUCUCUUGUAAUCAUGUCCUGGUUAGAUUUAGUAAAAAUGUUUUAGUGAAUCCUCAGAAGCUUCAGAGCCUCAGACAUGUACUCUGUAUCGUCAUAUAUAUUGCUGUAUAGUUUAAACAAUUUUUAAAAAUAAAUCAUGUUAAAAAGAAAUGAGUCUGUGACUGCAUGUGAGAACAGAAAACAAAAAACUCUAAUUAUUUUAACUCAAUAUCCAACUGAAACUGUAUUCCUGAUGUAACAGAAUGUGACUUAAUAGUGCCCCUGAAAGACUAGUUUAAAUCGAGCCACUGCGCCACCUU